rnacentral:rRNA from 1 species
UACGAAGGGUGCAAACGUUGCUCGGAAUUAUUGGGCGUAAAGAGCUCGUAGGCGGCUUGUCGCGUCGAAUGUGAAAACCCACAGCUCAACUGUGGCUUGCAUUCGAUACGGGCAGGCUCGAGUUCGGUAGGGGAGACUGGAAUUCCUGGUGUAGCGGUGAAAUGCGCAGAUAUCAGGAGGAACACCGGUGGCGAAGGCGGGUCUCUGGGCCGAUACUGACGCUGAGGAGCGAAAGCGUGGGGAGCGAACAGG